rnacentral:sRNA from 1 species
GGGAGGUCCUGGCUGAGAGCGCCGGCUGCCAGCUGGAGACAUGAUUGCAGUGUGGGCCUUAGGAUUUGAACCAAAGAAAGAAGAAAUUUAAAAAAUGGUAGCUGAAGUUGAUAAAGAAGGAAUUGGCACCAUUAGUUUUGAAGAUUUUUGUUUGCCAUUAUGAGUAUAAAAAUGAUAUAGUUGUGAUUUUAUUUUUCAAAGAAAUACUAGCAAUAACCUGCUACAUUUUAGGGCUGGAGCAAUCAGAACUUUUAUAGAGAAGUAAUUAGAACUAGGUUUUUAAGGAUGGGAGAUAGGAAGAGCAAGAUUAAAUAUGUUUUCAGGGUAGUAAUGAGAAGACUAUGAUGUGGAGAAGAGGUUUUCGUCAGGAAAUAAUGAGGCUAUAUUGCAGGAUAGAGAGAAUGGGGCCAGAAUUUGGAAGCCUUUAAUUCAGCAAACAUAUAUUGAAUGCCUAUUUUUGCCAGGCACUAUUCCAAGGAGCAUUGAAAGAUACAACCUCCCGUUUUGAAGCUUACGUUUUUGGUAACGGAUCUGAAUUAUGAGGUUUAAUAAGAGAUGCAUUCUGGACCACCCUGUGCCUCCUCCACCUCAGCAAGCUCUACAUUUAAGCACCUUGAGGGCAGAUGUGAGUACAUAAUUGUUAAAAGACCAAUAAAUAAAAUCAGAACUCAGCUACUUGGCACAUUGCUGCUUUAGACCCCAAAGAUCUAAUAAGUCCAGCUUGAUAAAAUAAAUAAAUGAAAGACUAGAUAGUUGCUUCUUUUUUAAAAGAGUAAAAAAGAUGAAAAAGAAGAAAUAUUGAUGCCUUUCAAAUUAUUUGAUGAUGAUGAUACUGGAAGUGUAACACUAACCAGUAUCAAGAGGUUUGCUAAGAAACUAGGGGAAAAUUUAAUAUGAUGAACUUCAGGAAAUGCUUGAUGAAGCUGAUCAUGAUGGAGAUGGAGAAAUAAAUGAGGAAGAUUUUUUGAGAGUGAUGAAAAAGACUACUUGUUAUUAAUAGCGUUGUUUUGGUCCUUGUGGAAAAUUAACAGAUUUGUAUUUGUUAUACAGUUUUAUAAUUUAAUAUCUGAAUAUAUUCAUUUUCAGUUUUUAGUUUAUAUGUACACAUUGGCUUCUUGAUGUCUAAUCCAUGUAAGAAGUUACACAUCUCUACCAAUAUGAUGUUAAAUCUACAGCAUCAAGAAACAAAACAUAAUGACUUCUUUGAGCCAUUAAUCUAAGAACAGUAUUAAUUCUAGCUGCUCUUUUGAGAACCCUAGGUCACAAAGACUUGGAAUUUUUAAGUUUGAUGAGGUUGGCUUCACAUCCAAAUGAAUUUGGCAAACAAACCCUAUAUUUUCCUUUUGUGCAACCCAAAAAAACCUGAUGAACAUUUGCUUUUUAGUCAGUUACUCAAAUACAUAAAGUAUUAAAUAGAACUGUCUGGUAACAUUAUUUGCUAAUUUUCUUCUUUCAGUUAUAAAGAAAAUUCAAAAUAGCACUUACAUCACCCAUAUUUCCCUGUAAGUUUGACCCUAUAGUGAGCACUUAAUACCUCUGUGCUAGGACAGGUGGUGUAGAGUUUUAUUUUUUUUAAAUUUUAUUUAUAUGUUUUUUGAGACAAAGUCUCCCUCUGUCACGCAGGCUGGAGUGCAGUGGUGCGAUCUCGGCUCAAUGCAACCUCUGCCUCCUGGGCUCAAGAGAUUCUCCUGCCUCAGCCUGCCGAGUAGCUGGGACUACAGGCACCUGCCACCAUGCCUGUAAUUUUUUGCAUUUUUGGUAGAGACAGAGUUUCACUGUGUUAGCCAUGAUGGUCUCGAUCUCCUGACCUCAUGAUCUGCCUACCUCAGCCUCCCAAACUGCUGGGAUUACAGGGGUGAGCCACUGCGCCUGGCCGAGAUUUUAUGUGUUACCUCAGUAAACAUAUUACAAGUUGGAAGCUGAUUGUAUUAGCUCAAUUUUACAUACAAGAAAACUAAAGUUCAGAGAAGUUUUAAAAAUUCCCCAAUUGCCCAUUGAUAAUAAAUAAAACAUGGAUUCCAAAUCUUAAGUUCUUAUUCUUCAUUAUGCUGCUUCCCUAUGGAUAAAACUUUCAAGAUAACUGUAUUUUCUAACUCAUUUUCGAUUCUGUGACUUGUGAUUUCUUCCUUGUGAAAGAGUCAAACUGUUGGGAAAUGGAAUCUCAUACAUACAGUCUUUUAACUCCUACUCAGUUGUUCCAGAGUGAGCCUUGGGCCUGGAACACUUCUUUUGAAGAGACUAGGAGUCCACAGAGCCUGUGCUGAACUUACCACCCCGUAUAGUAAUAUCUUCCUCUGUUUCAGGGUCAAUGUGUAGUCCUUUGCCCUGCUUAAGCGUGUGCAUCAUAUGGCAUCUGACCAACCCCACUGCUC